UACGAAGGGGGCUAGCGUUGCUCGGAAUCACUGGGCGUAAAGCGCACGUAGGCGGACUCUUAAGUCAGGGGUGAAAUCCUGGAGCUCAACUCCAGAACUGCCUUUAAUACUGGGAGCCUUGAGUUCGGGAGAGGUGAGUGGAACUGCGAGUGUAGAGGUGAAAUUCGUAGAUAUUCGCAAGAACACCAGUGGCGAAGGCGGCUCUCUGGACCGACACUGACGCUGAGGCGCGAAAGCUAGGGGAGCAAACAGG
rnacentral:rRNA from 1 species